rnacentral:lncRNA from 1 species
UGCAUAUCUGAUAGGAACAAAGGUUCCAAAAAUAGAAAUUGUCUAGUAAUAUUUGAUUUGUGAAUCUAAUUUGGUAGAUUAUCACAACUAUUCUCCCAUGACAUAUCUGAAAAUAAGCACCGAGCUGCACAACAGUCAGCACCGCAAACAAGCCUGCGUCCGUCUCAAAAGGAAAGCCUGAUGAUUCCAUCCAGUACAUAAUGCUCCAAGUUGCUGCUCCAUACCUCCAGACGUCAAGGUUUCAUCUCCCAGCGGCAUCAAUAUCAGAUAUCUGAAUUAGAAAUGCAGGCAUCAGUCAUAUCUGAAUCAACAUUAAGAAAAAUACUGGGUGCUUUAGCAAUAUAAUUUAUUAGUACAAAUAUAGUAAGAAAUGCAAUCAAUUGGAAAUGACAAUGAACAGUACAAACAUGCAAAGGUACAAUCAAUUGGAAAUGCUAAUCCAACUCUUCUCCUUCUGCCCGCCUCCUUGGAGCCAUCCCCACAACCGCCUCGCACAUCUGCCCAUAAUAUGCCAGGGUUUGAGUCUUGCAACAAUGGCCCUCACUGUGAUCGUCGAGAUCAGGGAUCAGAGAGAGCCCCUUUUAGUUAUUCGAAGAGGGGCUAAACCACUCACAGCUUCUUGCGGCUUCCUAAUGACACGAGCAGCUAAACAGAUUCAGGCCACACAUAGGUGUAAUACCCCACUCCUGCUUUUUGUGUGUUUGAUGGAUGAUGUACAAAUGAACUACAAGCUUGAGCUGAGUGGUCGCACCUAGUUUUGGUAGUGCUCGGGUGGGCUUCUAGCUGCCCCAGGCACCCUUCUCUUCUUCCUCUCUCUAGAUUCUUCUGGGAGGACCAUUGGUUUGGUAAUGCCACUCUGGCUACCCAGUAUUGGGACCUGUAUGUCCUUAAUAAUGAGCAUGAUGCCACCAUUGAUAAGAUCUGGGACGUCAGUAACCUUAAGCUCACAUUCCGGAGAUGUUUCACCCAGGAGCUUAUGUCCCUGUGGUUCGAGUUAUUGGAAAUUGGUUCUAUCCAACUCACUGUAGAAGAGGACUCCCCUAUUUGGAAUAUGAAUUCCAAAGGGGUUUACUCUGUCAAAUCCUUUUAUAAGUUUGUCAAUUUCAGAGGGGUGUUGCCUGUUAGCUCGCCUGCCAUUUGGAAGAUCAAAAUUCCACCUAGAAUUCAAAUCUUUCUAUGGCUCUUAACUCACAACAAGCUGUUGACCAGGGAUAACUUGGCCAAAAGGCAGGAUGUAGGUGAUCCUACUUGUGUGUUUUGCUCUGAACAAGAAACUGUUUUUCAUUUGUUCAGUACCUGUGUUGUUGCUGCUGAAUUCUGGAAAGCCAUUUGUGUCCUAACUGGGAUUAAUGAAGACGUUAAUAUAAUGUCCAUCUCCCAGUACUGGAUUAGAGGAGAUAGAUUUGCUGUGACUAAUAUUGUCCAUGCAGCUGGACUGUGGGCUAUCUGGAAAACUCGCAAUGACAUGGUUUUCAACAAUGUUUGUUGGUCUGGCUUGCAGGCUAUCUGGCGAAAAACUGCAUCAAAUCUAUCUUCUUGGGAGUGCCUGUCCUCAGGUUGUGCCAAGGACAAAGUGACGUGGGCGGCGAAAGAACUGGAGGUGAAAGCGAGAAGCCCACCUCUGCUACUGUGGCCAGAUCCUGGCUGAGGCGUGGAGAUACCUUUUGAAGCCCUUCUCUCUGAAGCACCUGCAGUUUAUAGCAGCUCCCUGCGCGUGUUAUGCUUGAUGUUCGCUUGCUGCUGCCUAGGCUAGGGCGUCUGUUCCAGAAUAUUUUACUUAUGUCUGCAAAAUUCUAGUUUCUGUAGCUCUAUAUGCUGCCACUGCGGCUGUUCACCUGCUGUCCGCCGUGUGCCUAUCUUGUAAUAGACUUACACUGGAUGUUGUUUUGUUUCUGGAAUGGAAUGGAACAGGGGCGCAGCCCUUUCCCUCUAAAAAAAACAAUCGACAACUCUCUAACAGUGUAAGUGAUCUCCGACCAAGGCUCAAAUGGAGGGUCUUUGGCUUGGCGGUCUUGGAGCGGGCUCGCAAAAAGCAGUGUGCAAGAUUGGCCAACAUCAAAGAGGGGGACGCAAACACACAAAAAUUCAACGAAGGGUCAACAGAAGGCGUCGCAGAAACUACAUUCAUAGGAUCAAGCACAACCAUGGGUGGAUCACCGAGCAUGAAGGAAAAGAGAAGGUGAUUCAUAACCACUUCGCCGAGGCCAACCGUGGGUGGAUCACCGAGCAUGAAGGAGAAGAGAAGGCGAUUCAUGACCACUUUGCCAAGGCCAUGGGGAAGGAGAAUUCGCGGCAUCAUGUUUGUAAUUGGGAUGAGCUAGGCCUCAAGCUGCAUAACUUGGACUCCCUUGCGGAGCCCAUUUCUUGGAAGGAGGUCCAAGAGGCCAUCAAUCUUGUGCCGAGCGAUAAGGCUCCCGGGCCGGAUGGAUUCACCGGACUAUUCUUCAAGUCUUGUUGGGACAUCAUAAAAGAGGAUGUCGCGCAGGUGAUCUCGCUCUUCGGCAACCUCCACACCAACAACCUUCAUUGGCUCAACUAUGCUAACAUCGUGCUUAUUCUAAAAAAGGAGGGCGUCGAGGGAAUCACCGAUUUCCGGCUUAUUAGUCUCAUCCACGCCAUCACUAAGAUUGUCGCCAAAAUCUUAGCAAUGCGGCUUGCCCCACAAAUGAACAAGUUAGUCUCCGACGCCCAAAGUACCUUCAUAAAGAUGAGGAGCAUUCAUGACAAUUUCAUGUACGUGAAAAAUCUAGCGCAACACCUCCACAAGAGCAAAACCACGUCCCUCCUCCUCAAGAUGGACAUUCCAAAGGCCUUCGACUCUCGUCAAGUGGUAAUAUAUCAUUGACAUCACGCAACACCGUGGACUGCCAAGCACUUUCUGGAAUUGGAUCACUGCUCUCUUGUGCACCUCCUCUUCGAGGGUGCUCCUCAACGGCAUCCCCGAAAAUUCAUCACACACGGUCGCGACCUUCGUCAAGGGGACCCCUCUCCCCCCACUUUUUCGCAUCGCCAUCGACCCUCUUCAGAAAAUCCUCGAUAUGGCAACUAGGAAGGGGCUGUUGCACAAGAUUUGUGGUCGUGGUACCAUCAUCAGAACUUCCCUCUACGCCGAUGAUGCGGCUAUGUUCUUCUCCAUCAAGAAAGACAUAGACAAUCUCUCCGUCUUGCUUAAUGCAUUUGGUGACAACACGAGCCUCCACAUGAACUUGCAGAAAAUCUCAGUGGUUCCAAUUCAGUGUGGCCACAUCCCCCUUUAUGAUAUUCUCCAAAGCUUGUCGGCUACACGCACUUCAUUUCCGAUGAAAUAUUUGGGUCUACCCCUCUUGGUCUGGCAAGUCAAAGUCAGGGAUUUUCAGUUCCUUGUGGACAAGACGGCUGCCGAGCUUGUCCCCUGGGAUGGCCAAAGUAUCACCGCCAUUGGACGCGCUGCUCUUGUCAAGUCCGUGCUCUCCUCGCAAGCCAUCUACUUCAUUACCCCACUCAUCGUCCACCCGAGCAUCCUACAUAAUGUCAACUAGCUUGAUAGGGCCUUCCUUUGGGCGGGAAGGGACAAGACCAUCGGUGCAAAGUGCAAGGUUAGUUAGGACACAGUUUGCCGACCAUUCGAGUAUGAACUCGGCAUUCUUAACUCAGAGAAAGUUGCGAGAGCUCUUUGUUUGUGGUAGCUUCGGUACUAGUUGAAGGAGUCCACCAAGUUGCGGGUUGGAUCCGGCAACCCUUGCGACGAGAUGGAUAUGAACCUUUUAUAUGCCUCCUCCACCAUCAUAGUGGGCAACGGCACGCGCACCCCUUUUUGGGAUGCCCCUUGGGUGCAUGACCGAAAGCCAAAGGACAUCGCACCCCUCAUUUAUGAAGCAUCCUCCCGAAAAAGAUGGAAGCUUCGGUUCGUAAAAUCAAGGUCACCAUCAACUUCACCUUCGCGCAUCUGCGGCAAUUCAUUGUGCUUUGGACCACCAUUCGUGGCUACACCCUCGACGAUAAUGCCAAAGAUGACAUCAUCUGGUAGCACACCGAGAACCGGAUCUACACGGCAAGUUCCGCUUACUUGGCACAAUUCGUUGGCCUUCUCCACUCCCCCAUGGAAUAGGCGCUUUGGAAGGCUUGAGCUCCACCGAAGGUCAAAUUUUUCGCAUGGUUGGCCAUGCAAAAUAGGGUUUAGACCGCUGGCCAGUUGGCCAAGCAGGGACGUCCCGACUGUGGACUUUGCCAUCUAUGCAAGCGCGAGCAGGAAUCCAUGGAGCAUCUCAUGUUCAAGUGCAGAUACUCCAUGAGGCUCUGGGGCAUGAUCAAGGAAUGGCUUCAACUUGAAAGCAUCGACACUACCAACUGGCACUCGACGCGUUCCAUCAAAGAUUGGUGGACAAUUCUUUGCAACUCUACCAUUCCAAACCGGAAGGCGAUGGCUACUCUCACACUUCUCACCUCUUGGACCAUCUGGAAUUAAUGGAACACCUGUAUUUCCCAACUCAAGGGCGCACCACUCGCGGUUCUUCUCGCGAGUAUUAAGUUGGAGGUUCUAACUUGGGUAGCCGCAGGUGCAAAAUAUUUGGGUGUAACCAUGGCCCAAGAGUCUAUUGAUUCGAUGCUCUCACACCUUGGUGUUGUAACAAAAACCUCAACUCUAUUACCUCUUAGUUAAUGAAUGAGGCAAGUCUUUUGGCUCCUUUCAAAAAAACAAAGUUCUUGAGAUCGCUCCUCUUCUACGAGCCAUGGUCCUUCAUUUAUAUAGAGUUCUAGAGGACCUACAAUGGGUCCUUAACUACAAAGGUAAGAGGUUACAGUAGCCUUCGUUACUCAUGCGUCCACCGCUGAGUUCACCAAGAGUGGCAGGUAAACAAUUGCCUAAAUCCCAUUUAUCUCUGGUCGAGAGAUACACCUGGUCGCGGUCGCCGUUCUGGACUCCACCCGUCAGCAUCUGAUAAUCGAUGGAGGUUGCAGCUCUUGACAAGGCGCUAGGGCCUUGGUCAAAAAGUGGCCAUAUGUAGUCAUGACAGUCUGCUCAACUGCCCCCUUAUCGCGCAGGGAAUCAUGAUAUCGCCUUGUGAAAGAGUCCUCAUUCCCUUAAAAUGCGUAGCCUAUGGUGGGCUACGGUUGAUAGCCUGCCUGGCAGUUAAUGCCCAAUCGGCCAUGCCCCAAUUCGUGCUGCCUGACCCAACAACUUGAGCCCAGGGUAACCAUGCUCAGAGGCUUUGGCCGUGCUCAAGAACCUGGUGGUGUUCGGGAACGGAUCGAGGUGCCACUGCUCUUUUAGUUGAGCCACAUGCCGUGCUUAGAGUAUCCCUUCUACUCUUUUUGGAUGAUUUAUGAUUUGCUUGAUUGGCUUGUAGCAAGACUGAACGAAACCAAGCUUCUCCAACAUAGGCCACAAUUUAACAUAUUUAAGUUGUGGAAAUAUUUUAUUGAGAGGCCCAUUUAGGUGUCCCGGGAACCCAGUUUUCCAAUACACCGUUAGUUUAGGAUAUGAAUUCCGGAAUUGGGGGCAUUCAAGAGGCUUGGGUAUUGCCAUCAAGGGAUUUCGGACAUUCGAAUUUUCCGGAUGCUUUGAAUUUUGGUUGUCAUUUGUUUGUUCAAGAGCUUCCAGGAUCGACAUUUUGUGGGAUAAUUAGGAAACAUACAUUAUUGCCGUGAUCAAAAUGUACGAGCUAUAUUUAGAGUCAUACAUAGCAUGGAAAUAUGUUUGCUAUAUCCUUCAUUUUUGAGUCAGAUAAUAUGUAUAGGAACAGAAUUGAUUGGUCAGCUGGGAAAGCCUUGCACAUUAGACGGACAAGUGCAAGGAGGCGGAACAGAGUAGUCAAAUUAUAACAAAAAUGAUGGUGACUUCUUGAGGAUCCUAUUUCCACGUCACCAUACUAGCCUGUGUCUCGCUGUAAGAUUAAGGAAUCAAGGAAUUAAUUGAUACUCAUAUUUGCAUACAACAAACCUGUAUAGCAUAGAGCAGUAAGAUUAUUUUACCAAAAUAUAUGCUUGCAACGAUUUCAGCACUCGUGGAGUAGUGUGUGCUAUUGCAUGCAUAAUUUUUCUAGCCUAGCUAAACACACUUCUAUUUGCAUACAACAGAACAUAUAAUUUUUCUGAUCUAGCUUUUAGCUAAAGGCCAUGUUCGAAGUAAUGUUCUGUUGGCAAGGCAAUUAAGGAAGUUACCUGUGUGUUGAGGGCUUGAUGCAGGUUAUUACGAAUAUUGUUUUAUCUAUAAAUUAGAGAGAUGAACCACAAAUUUAUCAUUUCAUCAUUGUUUCUUAUUGGCUAAUGCUAUUCUCUUGCAUAAAAGAGUAAUCAAUUUCGUUUCUUAUUGUGUUCGAAUACUUCUAUAUCAUGCUGUGUCCAAUCAUUUCAGUAUGGUACCACUGUAUCAGUGUCCAUAUUCAUGCAAGAACAAAACUGCAUGGAAGUUUUCUCAAUAAGAUAGGAGGUUGAAUAUGUAGAAAGAAAUGUUUAUAAAAUUACCAUGAUUCCGAACUUCAAAGGCUUGGUUCUGAUGUGGUUUGAUGCAUUUUCAGCUCAUUAAGGAUUCUCAGGGUAGAGUUUACUUACCUUUUAUGUGGGCAUACAACUGCUACCUUUUAUAAUUGUAGGCGAUCUCUAAUUUUAUUAUUUUUGAAAUGUCUUUACUAUGUUCUCUCAGCGGUAUUUUUGGCAUGCAAUAUUAAUACAAGUGUCGUCACAAAAAGAAAAGGGCUACAAGUGGUACUUUUCUGCAGCAACGGGAAUUGAAGGAAAUGCAGUCAUUUGCUACACGAGUAAUAUUUUUCUGAAACAUUGCAAGUGACUAAAACUUGAAUGGAAUGUUUCCAGGUAUAUGUGAUGUAAUACAUUAAAGAGACAUGGAUGAAAGUUCCCAUUCAAGAUUCAUAUUUUUCCCUUGCUCCUGCUAACACUUUAUUCUUAAUUCAACCCAUGAAAACAAUUUACUUACUUUCACUUUGGUCUGCCAGUUUUUUUUCUUUUAGGUCUAUGAAAGUCAUUGUCCCACCUAAUCGAUUUCCAGUAAGCCAGCUCACUGAUGGCAAAAAGAACUGUAACAAUUACAGGGAAUGUGGUGGGGAGGGAGGCGCAACUCCAGAAGUCAGGAACACCAAAGACAAAAGAGACGAAAUGAAGGUAGGGGAACUACGUUGUCAUUAGAAAUCACCGUCUUAGCUAGGCACGUGUUCUAUUGUUCUUUUUCUCACCGCCUUAAAAACAACACAUAUGAAUAAAUUAGUGUGUGAAUUGAAACUUUGUUUUCUGUCUACAGAUAAUUAUGGAAAGCAUGUUCCAUAUCAUGCUUCAUCUUUCUUGUGAUAUUCUGUUUCACAUGAACACCAAUGAAUAUUAGGAUGCUUCAGACUUGGACAAGAGCAUAGUUGUGCACAUUCUCUUUGUGCUAAAGUUCCAUAUGUUCAUUUGCUUAGAUUUGUGAUAAUAAUAUUAUUCAGCGCAGCUCACAUAGUAUGGCAGACCACUUGUGUAGAGAAGCAGCAACAUAACAAUUGUGCCAAGCAACAUGGAUAUGCAAAUAAGGAGUGCUUUUCUUGUUCUUUUCCGUACCUAUACAAUUAUGCAAGCGACCUCAGAUGCUAAACCUCUUUGGCUCUAUACCGGCGUGCCCGUGUUUGUGCGUGUAGUUGGUGUUUCUCAAUAAAAAAAUGUCAAGCUACUUGCCCCGUCGUAAGCUACCAGCGCCAACGAUACCCGUCGUGGCGAAACGCACCUACCCAUCUAGUACUUCUUGAUCUCCUAUGUUCCACGACUUUUCAAUUGCAUGAAUAACAGCUUGCUAAAACAAUUAUUAAUGACAUAGCAAACUACUAACCUGCAUAAUAUAUUAGUGUCGCAAAGUCCUAUGGAGUGCAAAGUACAAGUAUGCAAAUAGAGAGGAAGGUUACCAUGUUGAAGAGUUGGUGGAGACAAGGAUGGUGGGAAACCGGCAAACAUAUGAGCACCCUUGUUAUUGUGCCUCGAUGCAAGGAACCACUCAAGCUGUAAAGUCUUCAGAUCUAGCGAAAACAAAUAAAAUGGAUAUUGGUCUUGUCGAAGCCCUUGUAGGAGUAAGUAUCCCCCUGCUACGCCCAUGAGCAUAUAUCGAUCAUUUAAAUUGAACGUUUCCUCUAGCAUGCACUGGUUUGCACCAACUCCAUCAUUUUGCAACACAUAAUACCUUAGUUCAGCUGUCAAAUUCUC